CUGGCCCAAGUGUGGGCUGAGGGUGAACUCAGGUUAACUUUCAGGAGAUGUGUGAAUGGGGAAACUUUGACCAGAUGGGAGGAUCUGGUGAAUAUUAUGAAACAAGUGGUGCUGUCCAAUAUACCAAAUCAACCUGUCUGGAGGCUGGACCCUUCUGGUAAAUAUUCAGUUAGGUCUUUUUAUAAGCUAAUCAAUUUUGGAGGGAUCGUUUCUGUGAUCAAAGAUGACAUCUGGAAAAUUAAAGUUCCACCUAAUAUCCAUGUAUUCCUUUGGCUAAUAUACUACAAUAAGAGUUUAACUAGAGACAAUUUGGCCAAACGCAGACAUGUUGAAGAUAAGACAUGUGUUUUUUGUGAUGAACUAGAAACUAUUCAACACUUGUUUUUUGACUGCAUUGUUGCUAGGCAGGUCUGGGCCUUUGUGGCUGAAUCCUUUUCAAUUGACAUUCCUGUUUCUUUUACUGUGUUAUCUUCCUUUUGGAAGAAACGAAAACAUUGUAAAGCUUUGAAUAUAGUUACGGUUGCUACCUUGUGGAGCUUAUGGCGCUUGCGCAAUGACUUUGUUUUCCAGGGCGAAGAUGGCGAAAUAUUCACUGUGUCUUGA
rnacentral:rRNA from 1 species